rnacentral:rRNA from 1 species
AUUGAACGCUGGCGGCAGGCCUAACACAUGCAAGUCGAGCGGAUGAAGGGAGCUUGCUCCUGGAUUCAGCGGCGGACGGGUGAGUAAUGCCUAGGAAUCUGCCUGGUAGUGGGGGAUAACGUCCGGAAACGGGCGCUAAUACCGCAUACGUCCUGAGGGAGAAAGAGGGGGAUCUUCGGACCUCACGCUAUCAGAUGAGCCUAGGUCGGAGUAGCUAGUUGGUGGGGUAAAGGCCUACCAAGGCGACGAUCCGUAACUGGUCUGAGAGGAUGAUCAGUCACACUGGAACUGAGACACGGUCCAGACUCCUACGGGAGGCAGCAGUGGGGAAUAUUGGACAAUGGGCGAAAGCCUGAUCCAGCCAUGCCGCGUGUGUGAAGAAGGUCUUCGGAUUGUAAAGCACUUUAAGUUGGGAGGAAGGGCAGUAAGUUAAUACCUUGCUGUUUUGACGUUACCAACAGAAUAAGCACCGGCUAACUUCGUG